UUGACCUCAAAUCAGGUAGGACUACCCGCUGAACUUAAGCAUAUCAAUAAGCGGAGGAAAAGAAACUAACAAGGAUUCCCCUAGUAACUGCGAGUGAAGCGGGAAAAGCUCAAAUUUAAAAUCUGGCGGUUCUUGUAGCCGUCCGAGUUGUAAUUUAGAGAAGUGUUAUCCGCGCUGGACCGUGUACAAGUCUCCUGGAAUGGAGCGUCAUAGAGGGUGAGAAUCCCGUCUUUGACACGGACUGCCAGGGCAUUGUGAUGCGCUCUCAAAGAGUCGAGUUGUUUGGGAAUGCAGCUCAAAAUGGGUGGUAAAUUCCAUCUAAAGCUAAAUAUUGAGGAGAGACCGAUAGCGAACAAGUACCGUGAGGGAAAGAUGAAAAGAACUUUGGAAAGAGAGUUAAACAGUACGUGAAAUUGCUGAAAGGGAAACGCUUGAAGUCAGUCGCGUUGUUCAGGACUCAGCCUUGCUUUGCUUGGUGUACUUCCUGUUCGACGGGUCAGCAUCAAUUUUGGUCGGUGGAUAAAGGCUUGGAGAAUGUGGCAUCUUCGGGUGUGUUAUAGCUCUGGGUCGCAUACAUCGGCUGGGAUUGAGGAACUCAGCACG
rnacentral:rRNA from 1 species